rnacentral:rRNA from 1 species
GAUGAACGCUGGCGGCGUGCCUAAUACAUGCAAGUCGAGCGAACGGACGAGAAGCUUGCUUCUCUGAUGUUAGCGGCGGACGGGUGAGUAACACGUGGAUAACCUACCUAUAAGACUGGGAUAACUUCGGGAAACCGGAGCUAAUACCGGAUAAUAUUUUGAACCGCAUGGUUCAAAAGUGAAAGACGGUCUUGCUGUCACUUAUAGAUGGAUCCGCGCUGCAUUAGCUAGUUGGUAAGGUAACGGCUUACCAAGGCAACGAUGCAUAGCCGACCUGAGAGGAUGAGCGGCCACACUGGAGCAUAGAACCGGUCCAGACACAUACGGGAGGCAGGAGGAGGGGAGAUUGAGCAAGGUGAGAAAGCCUGAAUGAGCAACGCUGAGUGAGUGAUGGAGGUAUACGGAUCGUAAAACGCUUUUAUGAGAGAAGAACAGAAGUGUAAGGAAAUGUGCGCAUCUGGACUGUACGUAAUGAGGGAGCCACGCAUAACUAAGU